UACACUUAGGUUGGAGUCAGAAGUUUACAUACACUUAGGUUGGAGUCAGAAGUUUACGUUCACUUAGGUUGGAGUCAGAAGUUUACAUACACUUAGGUUGGAGUCAGAAGUUUACGUUCACUUAGGUUGGAGUCAGAAGUUUACGUUCACUUAGGUUGGAGUCAGAAGUUUACAUACACUUAGGUUGGAGUCAGAAGUUUACGUUCACUUAGGUUGGAGUCAGAAGUUUACAUACACUUAGGUUGGAGUCAGAAGUUUACAUUCACUUAGGUUGGAGUCAGAAGUUUACAUACACUUAGGUUGGAGUCAGAAGUUUACAUACACUUAGGUUGGAGUCAGAAGUUUACGUUCACUUAGGUUGGAGUCAGAAGUUUACAUACACUUAGGUUGGAGUCAGAAGUUUACAUACACUUAGGUUGGAGUCAGAAGUUUACGUUCACUUAGGUUGGAGUCAGAAGUUUACGUUAUCUUAGGUUGGAGUCAGAAGUUUACAUACACUUAGGUUGAAGUCAGAAGUUUACAUACACGUAGGUUGGAGUCAGAAGUUUACAUACACGUAGGUUGGAGUCAGAAGUUUACAUACACUUAGGUUGGAGUCAGAAGUUUACAUACACUUAGGUUGGAGUCAGAAGUUUACAUACACUUAGGUUGGAGUCAGAAGUUUACUUACAUACACUUAGGUUGGAGUCAGAAGUUUACAUACACUUAGGUUGGAGUCAGAAGUUUACAUUCACUUAGGUUGGAGUCAGAAGUUUACAUACACUUAGGUUGGAGUCAGAAGUUUACAUACACUUAGGUUGGAGUCAGAAGUUUACAUACACUUAGGUUGGAGUCAGAAGUUUACGUUCACUUAGGUUGGAGUCUGAAGUUUACGUUCACUUAGGUUGGAGUCAGAAGUUUACGUUCACUUAGGUUGGAGUCAGAAGUUUACGUUCACUUAGGUUGGAGUCAGAAGUUUACAUACACGUAGGUUGGAGUCAGAAGUUUACAUACACGUAGGUUGGAGUCAGAAGUUUACAUACACUUAGGUUGGAGUCAGAAGUUUACAUACACUUAGGUUGGAGUCAGAAGUUUACAUACACUUAGGUUGGAGUCAGAAGUUUACAUACACUUAGGUUGGAGUCAGAAGUUUACGUUCACUUAGGUUGGAGUCAUUAAAACUCGUUUUUCAACCACUCCACAAAUUCCUUGCUAACAAACUAUAGUGUUGGCAAGUCGGUUAGGACAUCUACUCUGUG
rnacentral:lncRNA from 1 species